rnacentral:rRNA from 1 species
CCUACGGGUGGCAGCAGUGAGGAAUAUUGGUCAAUGGACGAGAGUCUGAACCAGCCAAGUAGCGUGAAGGAUGACUGCCCUAUGGGUUGUAAACUUCUUUUAUAUGGGAAUAAAAUGUUCCACGUGUGGGAUUUUGUAUGUACCCUAUGAAUAAGGAUCGGCUAACUCCGUUCCAGCAGCCGCGGUACUACGGAGGAUCCGAGCGUUAUCCGGAUUUAUUGGGUGUAACGGGAGCGUAGGUGGAUUGUUAAGUCAGUUGUGAAAGUUUGCGGCUCAACCGUAAAAUUGCAGUUGAAACUGGCAGUCUUGAGUACAGGAGAGGUGGGCGGAAUUCGUGGUGGAGCGGUGAAAUGCUUAGAUAUCACGAAGAACUCCGAUUGCGAAGGCAGUUCACUGGACUGCAACUGACACUGAGGCUCGAAAGUGUGGGUAUCAAACAGGAGUAGAUACCCCUGUAGUC